rnacentral:rRNA from 1 species
AGCGGGGCCCAUCCCGUAAGGCUAAAUACUCCCGAGAGACCGAUAGCGAACCAGUACUGUGAAGGAAAGGUGAAAAGAACCUCGAACAGAGGAGUGAAACAGACCCUGAAACCAUGCGCCUACAAGCGGUCGGAGCAUGUUAAAAUGUGACGGCGUGCCUUUUGCAUAAUGAACCUACGAGUUACUCUCGCUGGCAAGGUUAAGCGAUUCAGUCGCGCAGCCGAAGCGAAAGCAAGUCCGAACAAGGCGUACAGUCAGCGGGAGUAGACGCGAAACCAAGUGAUCUACCCUUGGUCAGGUUGAAGGUUGGGUAACACCAACUGGAGGACCGCACCGAUAAGCGUUGAAAAGCUUACGGAUGAACUGAGGGUAGGAGUGAAAGGCCAAUCAAACUUGGAGAUAGCUCGUACUCCCCGAAAUGCAUUUAGGUGCAGCCUCGAAGCAGAGUGAUAGAGGUAGAGCGACUGAUAAGAUGCGAGGGCUUCACCGCCUAUCAAGUCUUGACAAACUCCGAAUACUAUCACUUGGUCUUCGGGAGUGAGGGCAUGGGUGCUAAGGUCCAUGUCCGAAAGAGGAACAACUCAGACCACCGGCUAAGGUCCCGAAAUAAGGGCUAAGUUGAACAAACGAAGUAAAACUGCAAAGACAGCUAGGAUGUUGGCUUGGAAGCAGCCAUUCAUUUAAAGAGUGCGUAACAGCUCACUAGUCGAGGAGUUUUGCAUGGAUAAUAAUCGGGCAUAAGCCCUUUACCGAAGCUGUGGAUGUCGCAAGACAUGGUAGGGGAGCAUUCCGGCGGCGACGAAGGCCGUCCUCGAGGACGACUGGAGCUCCCGGAAAAGCAAAUGUAGGUAUAAGUAACGAUAAAGGGGGCGCGAAACCCCCUCGCCAUAAGACUAAGGAUUCCUGAUCAACGCUAAUCGGAUCAGGGUAAGUCGGGCCCUAAGGCGCAGCCGAACGGCGCAGCCGAUGGAAGAAACGGUAAAGAUUCCGUUACUGGAUAUAGGAGCGAUGUGGAGACGGAGAAGUGACACACCCGCCUGCCGACGGAAGCGCAGGUUAAAGGAAGUAGGUAAACGCCGGGCAGGCAAAUCCGCCUGGCGUGCCGAAGCUGACAGUAUCGAGAGCCCCCGGGCAAUCGAAUAGCGGUGGUAACCAGGCUCCCAAGAAAAUCCGCUAAGCAUAUUCUAUAUCCACCCGUACCCCAAACGGACACACGUAGUCGGGUAGAAUAUACCAAGGCGCUCGAAAGACUCACGGUUAAGGAACUAGGCAAAUUGACCCUGUAACCUCGGGAAAAAGGGUCCCCAGUAAGAUGGGGCGCAGAGAAUAGGUCCAGGCAACUGUUUAACAAAAACACAGGGCUGUGCAAAAUUUGAAGAUGAAGUAUACAGCCUGACACCUGCCCGGUGCCGGAAGGUUAAGAGGAGAGCUAAUCGCAAGAGAAGGCUUGAAUUGAAGCCCCGGUAAACGGCGGCCGUAACUAUAACGGUCCUAAGGUAGCGAAAUUCCUUGUCGG